GACGAACGCUGGCGGCGUGCUUAACACAUGCAAGUCGAACGGAAAGGCCCUGCUUUUGUGGGGUGCUCGAGUGGCGAACGGGUGAGUAACACGUGAGUAACCUGUCCUUGACCUUGGGAUAACUUCAGGAAACUUGGGCUAAUACCGGAUAGGAGCUCCUGCUGCAUGGUGGGGGUUGGAAAGUUUCGGCGGUUGGGGAUGGACUCGCGGCUUAUCAGCUUGUUGGUUGGGUAGUGGCUUACCAAGGCUUUGACGGGUAGCCGGCCUGAGAGGGUGACCGGCCCCAUUGGGCCGGAGAUACGGCACAGACUCCUACGGGAGGCAGCAGUGGGGAAUAUUGCACCAUGGGCGGAGGCCUGAUGCAGCAACGCCGCGUGCGGGAUGACGGCCUUCGGGUUGUAAACCGCUUUCGCCUGUGACGAAGCGUGAGUGACGGUAAUGGGUAAAGAAGCACCGGCUAACUACGUG
rnacentral:rRNA from 1 species